CCUACGGGAGGCAGCAGUGAGGAAUAUUGGACAAUGGGCGCAAGCCUGAUCCAGCCAUGCCGCGUGCAGGAUGACGGUCCUAUGGAUUGUAAACUGCUUUUAUACGAGAAGAAACACCCCUACGUGUAGGGACUUGACGGUAUCGUAAGAAUAAGGAUCGGCUAACUCCGUGCCAGCAGCCGCGGUAAUACGGAGGAUCCAAGCGUUAUCCGGAAUCAUUGGGUUUAAAGGGUCCGUAGGCGGUUUAGUAAGUCAGUGGUGAAAUCUCCCCGCUCAACGGGGAAACGGCCAUUGAUACUGCUAGACUUGAAUUAUUAGGAAGUAACUAGAAUAUGUAGUGUAGCGGUGAAAUGCUUAGAGAUUACAUGGAAUACCAAUUGCGAAGGCAGGUUACUACUAAUGGAUUGACGCUGAUGGACGAAAGCGUGGGUAGCGAACAGGAUUAGAUACCCUGGUAGUCCACGCCGUAAACGAUGGGAUACUAGCUGUUGGGUGACAAACUCAGGUGUAGUAGAGAAGAGUAGUAGUACGUCCGACCGCGGAGGUACGUUCGACGAAGAAGUAAGUAAAGUUAAAGUUAAAGUUAGUUACGGACGUGAGAGCGACGACGGACGACGACGAGGGAGGAGG
rnacentral:rRNA from 1 species